GACAUACGUAAGAAAUCUGCAUUACUGGAUUAUUAGUACACUGUAUAAUUAAAAUUUCUACCUGGUUACAUGUUAGGUAUAGGGGCAUUCAAAUAAGUAAUUUUUUAGAACAAUCAAAUUAUAAUAAAACCGUUUUAAAAAUGAGUGGCUUUAAGUAUUUGGAUGUUAUUUAAUAAAGAUGCCGAAUUUAUUGUAUUUUUUUAGCCAAGAUUAUAGGGCACAUCAGUAUGGAAGAGACAUAAAAUAUGCCACCCGGCUGGGUGCAGUGGCUCACACUUGUAAUUCCAGCACUUUCAGAGGCUGAGGCAGGCCGAUCAUUUGAUCCCAGGAGUCCGAGAGCAGCCUGGACAACAUGGCGAAACCCCAUGUCUACAAAAAAAUACAAAAAUUAGCCUCAGCUACUCAAGAGGCUGAGGUGGGAAGAUCAUCUGAGCCUGGGAGGUUGAGGCUGCAUGAGCUGCAGAUCAUGCCACUGCACUCCAGCCUAGGUGACAGAGAGAGAGCUUGUCUCCAAAACAAAACAAAACAAAAAACCCAAAAGACAAAAGACAAAUACAUCGCCCAAGGAGCCAAGGAGUCAAGGAGCAGGGUUAUUUAUCCUGAUGUCAUUGCAGUCAUGACAAAAAUCCAGUAAGUCAGUGACCCUCACCUGUAGUGUCCGUCGGCCCCAAGCUCAGAUCCCCACAUGUCCAGGAUAGAAGGAAUUCCGGUUUGACAACUGGGGAGACAGCCUCAUCACAAAUCCUGCACUAUAGGGAGUAUGGAGAUCUAUUUUAUUCUACUUUGGGGACAACUUUCUAGCACACUGCACAAGAAGCAAAGGAAAUAUUCAAUCAAUACUGGUGUCCAUAGGAAAAGAGCUACUGAAGUCUCGGACAUUGAUAUCCUGUUUAGAGAGUUGGUGACAGAGGGUGGUGUUUGAAGAAACCGUGAAAGAGCUAUCAAAUAACUUGGUGUCGGGGCCUG
rnacentral:lncRNA from 1 species